GAGUAAUUAACUCAAAUAGGUAGAGUAUUUCGUUUACACUGAAAAAGUUAAUGGUUCGAAUCCAUUAUUACUCA
rnacentral:tRNA from 1 species